UCGUGAGGUUAGUGCAAUGGCAUAAGCCCGCUUGACUGCGAGAAUGACAAUUCGAGCAGGUGCGAAAGCAGGUCAUAGUGAUCCGGUGGUUCUGAAUGGAAGGGCCAUCGCUCAACGGAUAAAAGGUACUCCGGGGAUAACAGGCUGAUACCGCCCAAGAGUUCAUAUCGACGGCGGUGUUUGGCACCUCGAUGUCGGCUCAUCACAUCCUGGGGCUGAAGUCGGUCCCAAGGGUAUGGCUGUUCGCCAUUUAAAGUGGUACGCGAGCUGGGUUUAGAACGUCGUGAGACAGUUCGGUCCCUAUCUGCCGUGGGCGUUGGAAGAUUGAAGGGGGCUGCUCCUAGUACGAGAGGACCGGAGUGGACGAACCUCUGGUGUUCGGGUUGUGUCGCCAGACGCAUUGCCCGGUAGCUAAGUUCGGAAUCGAUAACCGCUGAAAGCAUCUAAGCGGGAAGCGAGCCCUGAGAUGAGUCUUCCCUGAUACUUUAAGUAUCCUAAAGGGUUGUCGGAGACUACGACGUUGAUAGGUCAGGUGUGUAAGUGCUGUGAGGCAUUGAGCUAACUGAUACUAAUUGCCCGUGAGGCUUAACCAUACAACACCCAAGGGGUUU
rnacentral:rRNA from 1 species